AUGACAAACAUCAUUCUCAUCUGGGCAGUUUUAUUCUGUGUGGAAGAAUCUUUGGGACAAAUUACUGUAACUCAGAGCCCCUCAGCAAGCGUUCAUCCAGGAGAAUCAAUCACUCUGACCUGUAAAACCAGCUCUGGCAUCUGGAGUAAUGGACUAUCCUGGUACCAGCAGAAAGAUGGAGAAGCUCCUAAACUUUUAGUUUAUACUGUGACUGAUCUCCAGUCUGGGAUUCCAUCACGACUUGCUGGACGUGGUUCACAGUUUGGAUCGGACUUCAGUCUGACCAUCAGUGGUGUCCAGGCUGAAGAUGCAGGAGAUUAUUACUGUCUGGGUCGGCACUACGUCAGUGGUGGCUAUGUGUUAACACAGUGA